UACAGAUGUCUCGAGCGUUAGGCGGAAUCACUGGGCUUAAAGCGUGUGUAGGCGGAUUGCUAAGUACCUUGUGAAAUCCCACGGCUUAACCGUGGAACUGCUUGGUAUACUGGCUGUCUUGAGCCACUUAGGGGCAACCGGAACAAACGGUGGAGCGGUGAAAUGCGUAGAUAUCGUUUGGAACGCCAAUGGUGAAAACAGGUCGCUGGGGAUGAGCUGACGCUGAGACACGAAAGCCAGGGGAGCAAACGGG
rnacentral:rRNA from 1 species